UACGAAGGGGGCUAGCGUUGCUCGGAAUCACUGGGCGUAAAGCGCACGUAGGCGGCUUCUUAGGUCAGGGGUGAAAUCCUGGAGCUCAACUCCAGAACUGCCUUUGAUACUGAGGAGCUUGAGUCCGGGAGAGGUGAGUGGAACUGCGAGUGUAGAGGUGAAAUUCGUAGAUAUUCGCAAGAACACCAGUGGCGAAGGCGGCUCACUGGCCCGGUACUGACGCUGAGGUGCGAAAGCGUGGGGAGCAAACAGG
rnacentral:rRNA from 1 species